rnacentral:rRNA from 1 species
UACAGAGGGUGCAAGCGUUGUUCGGAAUUAUUGGGCGUAAAGGGCGCGUAGGCGGUGCGGUAAGUCUGCCGUGAAAUCUCUGGGCUCAACUCAGAGUCUGCUGUAGAAACUGCCGUGCUUGAGUGUGGGAGAGGUGAGUGGAAUUCCCGGUGUAGCGGUGAGAUGCGUAGAUAUCGGGAGGAACACCUGUGGCGAAAGCGGCUCACUGGACCACAACUGACGCUGAGGCGCGAAAGCUAGGGGAGCAAACAGG